CCGGCGACCGGCGCACGGGUGAGUAACACGUAUGCAACCUGGCCGUGACAGAUGGAUAACCGGGAGAAAUCCCGCCUAAUACAACAUAAUGCCGGGAGGGGACAUACCCCUGCCGGUCAAAGGGGGCGACCCCGGUCAUGGAUGGGCAUGCGGCGCAUUAGGUAGUUGGUGGGGCAACGGCCCACCAAGCCGACGAUGCGUAGGGGUUCUGAGAGGAAGGUCCCCCACAUUGGAACUGAGACACGGUCCAAACUCCUACGGAAGGCAGCAG
rnacentral:rRNA from 1 species